GGUAAUAUGGCUGAGACUAGGCGGUAGAUUGUAAAUCUAUUUACGAGAAAAUCUGUUACCA
rnacentral:tRNA from 1 species